CCUGUUCUGAGCAGCCAGGCCCUGAACAUUCUCUGCCACUUCUGUUCACAGUCAGCAGGGAAAUGAGCGGACAGAGGGGUCCUUGAGCCACUGACCACCUCGGCCGUCAGGAAAUAGAGAUGGUGCUCCUUUAAGAUGAAGGUGGUGGGCAGCCACCCAUCUUCCCUAAACACAGACUCGCCUUGUUCUUCCAUUUCUGGCUCAGUGAUAAAAACGUUAAAUGUCAUUUCCUGUAUCAGUGGUUAACCACGAGAUGCUGGAUCAAAGAUUUACCAGAAGUGCUGAAGUUAAGGAAAAAAAAAAAAAAAAGAAAACAACCCUGCUGUUUUCAAUAACCCUUUCUUGCACCCUGUGGGAACUAUUUAACCUUUCUGGUAGGUGGGAGGGGAGCGGGGGAAAGGAGCGGGUUGCUGGAUUUGGCCUGAGCAAUAAACUUCAGAUUAGAUUGGCUAAAGGCUUCCUCGUGCCACAGACAGGAAGUGGAUGAAGGCAUGAUUUCACCGUUCUGCAUUCCUCUCCGGAGAAGCCUGGAAGUCGCAACUUCUGAAGCCCAAACACCCUAGAGCCUGUGCUCCACGAUAAGAGAAGCCACCGCAAUGAGAAGUCCACUGUGCAACUAGAGAAAGCCUGCACGCAGCAAUGAAGAAUCAGCACAGCCAAAAAUAAUGUUCACAUGUCAUGAAAAUGGUGGUCUUGGACUUCCCUGGGGGUCCAGCAGUUGAGAAUUGACCUGCCAAUGCAGGGAACACGGAUUCCAUCCCUAGUCUGAGAAGACUCCACACGCCAUGGA
ensembl:lncRNA